rnacentral:rRNA from 1 species
UACGUAGGGUGCGAGCGUUGUCUGGAAUUAUUGGGCGUAAAGAGCUUGUAGGCGGUUUGUCGCGUCUGCUGUGAAAAUCCGGGGCUCAACCCCGGACUUGCAGUGGGUACGGGCAGACUAGAGUGUGGUAGGGGAGACUGGAAUUCCUGGUGUAGCGGUGAAAUGCGCAGAUAUCAGGAGGAACACCGAUGGCGAAGGCAGGUCUCUGGGCCACUACUGACGCUGAGAAGCGAAAGCAUGGGGAGCGAACAGG